UUCUCGUUACGAUUCGGUGAAUCGACGCCGCGAAGUAAUCGUUCCCCUGUUUCGGUUAAGAUAAGAGGUGGUUAAAUGAAUAUGACACAGUAUAGUAAGUUAUAUUUCACCGUUUAUUCCAACAACUUAUAACGAAGGCAGUUACGCUGAUGCGUAUGUACGAGAUGAAUAAGUGACUGAUCUGUGGGUGUGUCCUACCCGGUGGAAGGAUAUUGACCGUUCGAAGGAUGUAAAAUCAGAACUGUCUUGGGAGACGAUGCUGUCUCGGAGGAAAGCUAAGGAUGGGUGUGUCUAGCGCACGGGACCAUCGGAUUUGUUGGUGACGAUUUUAGUUAGGAUUUUAGUUCAAGCUGAGUUGACCGUGAUUCAAUUCACGAAUAUCGGAGAGGAAAAGUCGUAAUUCACAAUAUUACACACAAUAAUACCUUCACAUAAAGGAACACAGCUCAGAUGAGACUUUUUAUAGUUAAACUUUUAACGUACUCAUAGACACGAAAAUUUUUUUUUAAAUAGAACUGUUACAUUUUACGACACGUAUAACAUCGAACAUUUACCAACAUAGCAAUGCCAGCGUACAUAUAUAUAUACUGGUGUACUGGUCAUCUUUUUUCCACACGUUUUUAGCUUUUUAGCUGAUUGUGAAUGGGCGCCUAAUCAGCCAAUCAGAAAUGGCCGGUAUUGUAUGAAUCCUUUUCUUCAAUGCUUGAAGAGCUGGAUAUUUAUCCAAAACUGGUGCCCCAAACAUAUAUUCGAAAUUUUCAAGGGUCUCUGCAAAUACGAAGUCCGCCCAUGUCGUCUGAAAAAAGGAUCCUCCUCCAUGCGACAGUAGCAGAUAGCUGAAACGUAUAUGAAACCAACCGUUACGUUCAUUUGUGUUUUUCCCCCCAAACGAAGAGAAAAUAAGUUGUGAAAGAAGGAGUAGCCUCUCAUAGUUCCUACAAUUUCUUUAUUCUCUUUGCUUUCUUCAAUAUUGCCUCAACAAGUUCCUGUGGUUCACGAUACUUGAAAUAUAUACAAUGUUACCAGCGUGGAAAUUGUCUUGGAAACUUGGAAAAUCUUUCAAGAGGAACAACAUUGCUAACUGAGAUUCGAGAAAGGAAAGGUCCAUAUUUUUGGGGAUACAAUUAAAAAAGUAAAUCGUCGGUGGAAUAUUGUUUCACCUAUCAAGAAUUUUGGAAGAUAUAAUUAGAAAGGUACAACCUGGGUAGAAAAUUGUACUCCUUAUCGAGCAUUUUUGAAAAUAUAAUUGAGAAAGUGGAAUCUGGAUAGAAAAUUGUUUUACCUACGAAGCAUUAUAAAAAUUGACAGAGCAAGGAAAAUGAGCGACGAACCUACCUACAAACUAAUCUACUUCAAUGCCCGUGGUCGUGCCGAACAUAUACGGUACAUAUUUGCAUAUACUGGCAUCGAGUAUACCGACGAGAGGAUCCCCGAAGAACUCUGGCCUGAAUACAAGGAUUGUAAGCGUGAAGAAUCGAUUUUUACUUUCAUCGUUCAACUCUCAGGUAUCUACCAUUUACUCAAACUUUUCUGUAUAUAAAACUUUCGUUUCACGUGCAGGCUAAACUUACUUAAAGUAAAAUUUCAUACGGAAUAAAGUCGAACUUUUCAUUAAGUUUUGCUUCCGUAAUAUCGUGUUUAUCGAAUACCAACUUAAUUCACUUACGAUUCUCGAAUUUUUGUGUUGCAAUCUUUAUUGUUUUCAAUGAAUCGAAGCAUUUCGAAUAUUUUGAGAAAACCGUAAAUAGGUGACUUAAAAUAGGAAUACAAAAAUACUUCUACGUUUCUCGUUAAUUUAAAAACUUUUUAGGACUUGUCGGAAAAAAGGAUAAAAAAUUGAAAUCAGUUCGGAUAUGAACAAGAACAUAACUAAAAAGUCGAAAGAACAAAGCAGACAUAAAAUUCGAUCUUCCGUUGCGACAUUUCUAUCGUAAAUAGUAUAAUAAAAGUUUUACGCAGCAUAGUCUUCGAUAUAAUCUUAUAUGUCGCUUGCAGAUAGAGAAACCAAAAAUCAACGUAAGUCUGUAAAUCAAUCCUGUCGGUGUAAAACACAAAAUUACGUUCGCAAGAGACAUUCGAUUUAUAUUCCUUGCAUUUCAAUUUUCAUUACAAGAACCGUGUACAUUUUCUAAUAUUUUUUCCGUGUCUGGUAUUAUGCGACGUGAAUUUUUUAUUCGCAGUUGUAAGUCCACUAUCAUUGCAUAAGGUCUUCCCGCAAAACGAUACUGAUCGUUCCUCGUACAUUCAGUACACCGCAUCAGACAGAUUCGUUCCUUUCCGUGAGAAUUACAAAUUUUAUACUCGAUCUUUUAUCCUUGAUUUUAAAAACUUUAGGUUCUUCUCAACAGUCAAAAACACGCGAUACCCUGUCCAUCGUAAUCAUAAGAAAAGAAAAAAAGGAGAAAGAAGACAUUUCUGUAUUUCUUUACUAGGCCAUGUUGAUUAAAACCGAAAUGAUUUCGAUUCAUCUAUUCACAAGAACGCAACGGCCUCGGAAGCUGUGUUGUGAUUUCCUAUCGUUCGUUUCCCUCUACACAGUGUUCAUAUGAGCCAUGUUUGUUCUUAGCAAUGCCUUAUAAAAAGCUGCCUGUGCUGGAGAUAGACGGGAAACCGGUAGCGCAGAGUAACGCUGUGGCGCGAUACUUGGCGAGGAAGUACGAUCUAAUGGGAAAGGACGAAUGGGAUGCGAUGAUAUGCGACGUGCUCGUCGAUACUCUUGAAGAUUUGGAGCAAGGUGAGUAACUGAUGAGAUGACUUUGCGUUUGUCUCACCAUAGAGACAGACGUUCAAGAAUUCAUUGUGAAAAGACGAGUACAAACAAGAUACGUAUGUCUUUCCGUUAAGCGAAUGUUACAGUUUGUUUGCAAAAGUCAGUUUUUAGAUUAUAGAAUCGUAGAUAGAAUUUAGAGGAUAGAAACUUUUAGUAGU